rnacentral:ncRNA from 1 species
GCAGAGAGAAACUAAUUGCUACCUGCCUCAGUUUCCCCAAAAUUUUAAUCUUUACAGUUUGGAGACCACGAACAUUUGACGGUACUUGCCGUGCUUACCAUGGUGACCACGGGUGACGGGGAAUCAGGGUUUGAUUCCGGAGAGGGAGCCUGAGAAACGGCUACCACAUCCAAGGAAGGCAGC